rnacentral:rRNA from 1 species
ACGAAGGGGGCUAGCGUUGUUCGGAUUUACUGGGCGUAAAGCGCGUGUAGGCGGAUUGAUAAGUUGGGGGUGAAAGCCCAGGGCUCAACCCUGGAACUGCCUUCAAGACUGUCAGUCUGGACUCAAGGAGAGGCGAGUGGAAUUGCGAGUGUAGAGGUGAAAUUCGUAGAUAUUCGCAGGAACACCAGUGGCGAAGGCGACUCGCUGGACUUGUAGUGACGCUGAGACGCGAAAGCGUGGGGAGCAAACAGGAUUAGAUACCCUGGUAGUCCACGCUGUAAACGAUGAGAGCUAGUUGUCAGUAGGCAUGCCUAUUGGUGACGCAGCUAACGCAUUAAGCUCUCCGCCUGGGGAGUACGGCCGCAAGGUUA